AUGAGAUACCCAUGGGUCUGGUGCGCCUCGGAAGGCAACGCCUGCAGUUCGACAAGCACUUCUCCGAGACGUGCCGCCGGGACCGCUUCUGCCUGCGCUGCGUCGCGGCUUACUGCUCCCACUGCUGCGGCAAUCACCACUUUCACCCGGAGUGGCCGGACCUCCGGGUCCUCCCCAUCGACCUCGACGCCGAAGGCCGGCCCAUAUUCCCAGCCCGGACGGCGCCGGCGCCGGACGGGCACCCGAUCCCGCCGGACAUAG
rnacentral:rRNA from 1 species